AGGAGGUGGAGGAGAAGAAGAAGGAGGUGGAGGAGAAGAAGGAGGAGGUGGAGGAGAAGAAGGUGGUGGUGGAGGAGGAGGAGAAUAGUAAUAAUAAUAGGUAAUAAUAAUACAUAAUACAUGUUCCCUUGAAGCAUGAAAAACAAAGUCCACCCCUGACAGUGACAUGAUAAGCUGAGAUAACAUCUGAUAAGAGCUGACGUUUGAUGAGCAUACACGAGGGUGGGGGAAGAUGCAGCUGAUAAGAAAAGAUUAGAUGACCAUCCCCCUCGCUUUGUUUUUGCUGGUACACAAACAUUUCUGUCUGUCUAUUUCUCUGUCUGUCUCAGCGAGAGCCACAAGACUGCGUCAUCAACCUUACUCAUAUCUUCAAGCAGAGUAUAGCACUUUGUCUGGAUUUUUGGGUUAUCCUAGGAGCCCAGAGCCACCUCCACAAAACUCAGCUGCUGAAAACACAAAUGACGAAGAGGAGCCAAUGGAAGAAGAUACCGAAGUAAAGUAACACAUAAUAUAACUUGAGUAGCAAGAGCUCUAUUACAUACAGGCCUCUGCUGCCUCCUCCACGAAACUGCAAAAAAGCGGUCGACUGUGCUUGCAUUUCAGAGCACUGCCAAAGUUACCCUGCUUUUGAAGGGUUGCCAGGCAUGUGCCACUUAGCCGAGUGACCAGUGAUAUUUAGUGUUAAUUGUUCCGGUGUGGUAGAUGUGUAUACAUCUGCGGUGAUGAAAACUGUAAUAUAUAAGCAGUGGUGGUCUUGUGGUGAUAAAUGUUGAGUGAUCCUGACGCUUGACAGCAGUGUCUAAGAUGGUCCCCAGGUUGGGCAGAGCACUGUAACUUAUCAGGCAAUGAUGUGAGUCAUGAUGUGAUGUCUGCCCAGUGUUCGCAUGUGGGCUUGUUCGACGAACCAAAGAUUAGCUAGAUUUUUAUGAUGUGCAUACACGGUGUCUUAAAUUUCUUAAGGUUGUAGUGUUCCAUAGGUAGACUGGACAACCAGUUAUAUUUAUUGCUGAACCACAUUUAUUUUCAUUACAUAUUAUCAAAGAGUAAGUUUGUACAUGUACUGCUGGUAGGCAGUUUCCAGAGUGAAUGUGCAGCCCAGUGCAAAUGUAUCUCAGAAUGUUGUGUACCAUUGGACCAGCCUCCAGCUAAAUCAUGACACCUUAAUCAAUACUUGUGCCAACCACUUAACAGAGGUUUUCUGUUGACAAACUUAACUUUGAAGAUGUUGUUAGUUUCAUAUAGUGUUUAGCAGAUAAAUGUAUAAUAAACAUAUAUAUAUAUUAUAUAUAUAUUCAAUUUUAUGUAUUUCAGAUUUUAUUUGUUCACCUCACCUGAUGGUGUAAAUUCAUGUCACUAAAGUGCACAAAAACAUGUUAUUUGCAAGCCUUACUUGUUAGCGGGAAGGUUGGGUGGUACCCGCUUGUAAGAGAAUGAACAUGUCGUCAUGGAGUAUCCAAGUGGUGCCCAAGUGUGGGAUUGGCUAGAUCCUCACUUUGUGCACAUUGGGUUACAGUGCUCCUCUUUCCACACUACUGCCUUUCUAUAUCUCAUCACCCAGUGUAAACUCUUACCAUAGAGGCCAAAUUAUCUGGAAGGUGAGGGACCCACUGCCUUGCUGGGACUUGUACAAUUUAGUACUUCUUUUACACGAGGUUCAUGAGCACUAGUCAGAAUCACAACCCCCCUUGUCCACUGUCAUUAAGGCCUCUGAGAUGUGUUCUGGUAUUGAGCUCAAAGCUCUAUGAUAAAGAGCCAGCCAGUCAUGGGGUUUCAGGAAGGCUUGAUCGUCCCACCCGUACCCUGUAUCUUGUCCUUAUAUGGCCAUGGUGUCCCAUAAUAAACUGGCAUAUGUUCAA